GAGCAGCAAUAGCUCAAAUUUGAAAUCUGGCGUCUUCGGCGUCCGAGUUGUAAUUUGUAGAGGAUGCUUCUGAGUAACCACCGACCUAAGUUCCUUGGAACAGGACGUCAUAGAGGGUGAGAAUCCCGUAUGCGGUCGGAAAGGUGCUCUACACGUAGCUCCUUCGACGAGUCGAGUUGUUUGGGAAUGCAGCUCUAAAUGGGAGGUAAAUUUCUUCUAAAGCUAAAUAUUGGCCAGAGACCGAUAGCGCACAAGUAGAGUGAUCGAAAGAUGAAAAGCACUUUGGAAAGAGAGUUAAAAAGCACGUGAAAUUGUUAAAAGGGAAGGGAUUGCAACCAGACUUGCUCGCGGUGUUCCGCCGGUCUUCUGACCGGUCUACUCGCCGCGUUGCAGGCCAGCAUCGUCUGGUGCCGCUGGAUAAGACUUGAGGAAUGUAGCUCCCUCGGGAGUGUUAUAGCCUCUUGUGAUGCAGCGAGCGCCGGGCGAGGUCCGCGCUUCGGCUAGGAUGCUGGCGUAAUGGUCGUAAUCCGCCCGUCUUGAAACACGGACCAAGGAGUCUAACAUCUAUGCGAGUGUUCGGGUGUCAAACCCCUACGCGUAAUGAAAGUGAACGGAGGUGAGAACCGCAAGGUGCAUCAUCGACCGAUCCUGAUGUCUUCGGAUGGAUUUGAGUAUGAGCAUAGCUGUUGGGACCCGAAAGAUGGUGAACUAUGCCUGAAUAGGGUGAAGCCAGAGGAAACUCUGGUGGAGGCUCGCAGCGGUUCUGACGUGCAAUCGAUCGUCAAAUUUGGGUAUAGGGGCGAAAGACUAAUCGAACCAUCUAGUAGCUGGUUCCUGCCGAAGUUUCCCUUCAGGAUAGCAGUAACGUUUUCAGUUUUCAUGAGGUAAAGCGAAAUGAUUAGAGGCCUUGGGGUUGAAAC
rnacentral:rRNA from 1 species